rnacentral:rRNA from 1 species
AAUUUGUUUUUUAAUUGAGAAAUGGAAUGAAGGAGUCCACUACAUGACAAUUUUCUUUGUGGAAAAGUAAAAAUUAUACCCUUAGUGAAAAUACUAAGAUGGACUAUUUAGACGAUAAGACCCUAUGAAGCUUUACUAGGCAAUGAGAAGUUCUAUCUCAACAAGGGGCUAGUUUAGUUGGGGUAACAAAUAAUCGGGCUAUUAUUAAAAAAAUCUAGCGAUUAAGAUCCUGUCCGGAGUUUAAGAUCUAGCUACUCUAGGGAUAACAGCAUUAUAGUUUUAAAAGUUCUUAUUAGAAAAACUGC